CCGCCCGCGCUAUAAAAGCGCGCGCGGCCGCCGCCGCUUAAAGGGGCCGCGUCCUGUGCGAGAUGUUUCCCGCUGGGUUCUGGCUUUAGGAUGUUGGAGAACCAAGAGGAAGAACUGACCACGGUGCGAGUGCAGGAUCCCCGCGUGCAGAACGAGGGCUCCUGGAAUUCCUAUGUGGAUUACAAAAUCUUCCUGCAUGUGAGA